AUUGAACGCUGGCGGCAUGCCUUACACAUGCAAGUCGAACGGCAGCACGGGAGCAAUCCUGGUGGCGAGUGGCGAACGGGUGAGUAAUAUAUCGGAACGUGCCCAGUCGUGGGGGAUAACGCAGCGAAAGCUGUGCUAAUACCGCAUACGAUCUACGGAUGAAAGCGGGGGAUCGCAAGACCUCGCGCGAUUGGAGCGGCCGAUAUCAGAUUAGCUAGUUGUUAAGGUAAAGGCUCACCAAGGCGACGAUCUGUAGCUGGUCUGAGAGGACGACCAGCCACACUGGAACUGGGACACGGUCCAGACUCCUACGGGAGGCAGCAGUGGGGAAUUUUGGACAAUGGGCGCAAGCCUGAUCCAGCAAUGCCGCGUGCAGGAUGAAGGCCUUCGGGUUGUAAACUGCUUUUGUACGGAACGAAACGGUGAGCUCUAAUACAGUUUGCUAAUGACGGUACCGUAAGAAUAAGCACCGGCUAACUACGUGCCAGCCGCCGCAGUAAAAC
rnacentral:rRNA from 1 species